rnacentral:rRNA from 1 species
UACGAAGGGGGCUAGCGUUGCUCGGAAUCACUGGGCGUAAAGGGUGCGUAGGCGGGUCUUUUAAGUCAGGGGUGAAAUCCUGGAGCUCAACUCCAGAACUGCCUUUGAUACUGAGGAUCUUGAGUUCGGGAGGGGUGAGUGGAACUGCGAGUGUAGAGGUGAAAUUCGUAGAUAUUCGCAAGAACACCAGUGGCGAAGGCGGCUCACUGGCCCGAUACUGACGCUGAGGCACGAAAGCGUGGGGAGCAAACAGGG